GCCUUCUUAACUCAGUUUGUAGAGCAUCAGACUUUUGAUCUGAGGGUCGUGGGUUCGAGUCCCACAAAUGGCG
rnacentral:tRNA from 1 species